UCCGUUAGCUACGUCGGGAACCAUUUGAACCAUAUUCGACUUUCGCGUAGCCUGGACAGCAAUCCGUCGGUACGUCCUCCAAGAUUCACAUCGUUUAGCAAGGAGAUAAACCAUUCGAAGUAUAUCCAAAAAAGACGUCCGACAUUCAAAAGGUGCUUGCAAAUUCGAAAUCGUCUAGCCAAGACUGCAACCCGUGGCAAGAAGAAGAAGUAAAAGCUAUUUGGUUGAGAAAUUGGAUACGAUAUAACUUUAACUUCAAAGAACGAGGUAUACAAACACCUGCACGGACCUGCAGUGGACUGUGCUUACACAAAUCGAAAACAUAUCGACAAUUUCCCGUAGAGAAGGUGAUUUUUCUGGCAAAUGAUCUGGAUACAUAUAUUUCCAGUAUCCAGUAUCUUUAUCUGUGGAAAUGGAAUCUUUGGAUGUCCAUCUUUUAAUUAGAGCCUUGUCCAGCUUCGCUAGUGCGAUUAUCGAAAUUGUAUUUAACGAAUAUAUAGGAACAGAAGUGAAAGAUCAAAGAACUGGCAAUGCAUCCCCGCUAUAGCCCUGGACCGCCGCACCAGCAGCAGCAACAGCAAAUGGGAGGAGGAGGAGGAUCCCACCCACAGCAGGGUGGAGGAGGCGGAGGCGGUGGGGGUCAUAUGAGAGGUGGAGGCCCCUUGAAUUCCCAGCAAUUGCCGCCACAGAUGCCACGAUCACAGAAUUAUUCGAAUAAAAAUACUGUGGAAAGCUUUCCGUAGCUUUCAAGCUUUUGAAAUCCAUUGCCUCGGUGGCAUUCAACCAAUCAGUCGCCAUCAAUCAAUGGGCGCCAUGCAUCAAUCAAGCAAUCAAACAACUCACUCACACACAGACACACCAAACAUUCGCUCGUUCAGUCAAUCGUUCAUUCAAAUCACACUCAGACACGGGGCCUUCACUCUUCUCCUUCAUUCCUGGUCGAUGAUUCCUGAUGUCCUCCCCCUCCGCCCCUCCGCCCCCCGACCUCCGGCACCACCGCAUAGAAGGCGUGCAGUACCAGUAGGAGGCGCCACUCUGCACUGCAAUCGACAUGUGUCAUACGCAGACAUCCAAUCCAUCGGAGAGCAGGAGAGAUGAGAAGGCAUUUGAGUGGAAAAUUGCUCCCGCUGAUGCGGCUAUGCCCUGGCAAUGAUAUGGAUUUCUUUCCAACCAUUCCCGCCAUCAAUUUGCUGACAGUUGCAGUUGCCCCUAAUCCCCAAACAGAAAGAGAGAGAGUGAGGUAGAGAGGCCCGCCCCACAUUAUACCUGGAUAAAUCAUUCUUCACACACGAGUAGGGGGGGGGGGGGGUUUGGAAACCCAAAAGAAAGACCAUUUUCCUUUGCUAAUUUCAAUGGAAUUACAUCCUGUUUUUGUGUGUUGUGCUGUGGGUGGAAUGCAUUGUGAUAUUUCCAUCAUAAUUUAUGCAUUUGCUUUCUAAAAACCCAACCCAAAAAAAAAAAAAACAAAAUGGAAAUCACACAAAGGCAACAUUUUCGUAAGUAGUCGCUCUGCCACUUCUCUCCCUACAUAUCUACAGCCCUACGAAUUCUGUUUUAGCUGCGUAUCAAGACGGGGAAUAUCCGAUAUGAAAGGAUAUAUUGUUUUACUGGGGAUCUAUGUAACGGCUAGAAGGAAAGAUCUAUAUGUACCCAAGAGCCCAUAUUGAACAGAGGUAGGCAGGCUUUUUCGGGAGGACAUUUGGGAGCGAUGAAAACAGUUGGUAGGAAGGCCGUGAUCUAUAAAAAAAAACCCAAAAACCCAAGAAGUAACACAACCUAGAAUCUGCUUUCUUUUUGGGACCAGAUUUUCUGCCAUGAUUUUGGAGGUAUCCUUUAGUCUAAAUAUCGUAUAUAGAGUCCCGUUUUGCUCUUUAUAUAUGUAUUCCAUAUAAUAAACUAUUCAAAGCUGUUACUGCACAAUGCAGGGGGAAAGGGAUGAGCACCAGGUGCAUUGGAUGGAUGUGAAAUGGGGGCUGGCUCCCCUUUUGUAGGCCGAGAGCAUCUAUUUUGGCCAGCAUCCUUCUAAUGGCCAACAGGCGCUGCAUGGACCAUGGAGGUUCUUUCAUUUAAACAGCUUUCAGCUCUCACACAGCCAACGAACAUCUCCCCAGCAGCAGCCAACAUUCAACAUUCAGACCACAUCAAAAAAAAAUAAAAAAAAAAAAACAAAAAACGAGGAAAAAUUUGAGAGAAAAAAUAGAAGAAAAGAAGGAAAAACCCCAGCUAGAAAAUUGUAAACAGUCGCCGCGCUUAGUCAGCGCCGUACAGUUAUUGUGCCUGGAAUGAAAAUUAUAUUUCCCAUUUUCCAUUCUACAGCGCCAGAAAAAAUAAAUAAAAGAGGAAACGCGCUGAAGUUUGCUAAAGUUUAUGGAGUUUAAGGGAAGAUAUAUUUAAAAUUACUUUAGUCCACAUUUUGUGUGCCGUUCUUUUUUUUUGUAUGGUAAUGGACGAAAGAUUUUGCAUUGUAUGGUGGGGGUUCCCCCCGAACGGAAAGCAAAAGAGCUAUGGGCUCUCCCCUCGCGUUGCAAUGGAGGGGAUUGGAUAUUGUUGAGCUUUUGGAAACAGUUUUUGCUGGAGAAGUAGCUAAGUUUGUGAGGCGUUUAGUGCGAGAGAAAGUAGUAGAGUUGUUUUGGGAGUAUCUGCCAUAAAUACUUACAUAUAUCAUUAUUCUUCUGCCUUAUGCGCUAUUGCCACAGCAUCCUUUUUAAUAUAUUAUUUCCAUUAGCCAUUUGCCAUUCCAUCUAUUCUAUACUUGUUUUUUCUCUAACUUUAUAAGUCUGUAGUUUAUAUGUAUUGUGGUCGAAGAGUGGAUAGUUCUAUAUGCCACCUAUAGUUACAGUAAUCUCCAUCUUCCUUUAUAUUCUUUCUAUUAAUUCCAUCAUAAUCCCCCCGUAAAUUCUAAAUGCGAAAGAGUAGAGCAGAAAGAAUAGGCGGACAAAUCCAACAAGAUAACGAAAAUGUGCGUGUGAGCAUGUCGGAAUUGCGUGAAUGAGAUGUACGAAAUUGGACCGUAGACAAGCGCUUGAGUUUUUAUACCCGAUACUCAAAAUGAGUAUUGGGGUAUAUUAGAUUUGUGGUAAAAGUGGAUGUGUGUAA
rnacentral:misc_RNA from 1 species